CGCCGCCAUUUUGUGUGUGUCUGUGUGUGUGCGCGUCUGGCCGCCGGCGGCGCCCCCUCCCGGCCUCGGCCCAGCGAGAUGGCGCCGCAGGUGCUCAGCAGGGCUCUGGUCACCGCCAAAUGGCUCUCGGAGGCCGUGCAGGCCGGGCGGGUAGGGCCGAGCCUGCGGAUACUGGACGCCUCCUGGUACCCGCCGCAGGAGCGAAACGCCCGGCAGGAGUUCAAGGAGAGGCACAUCCCCGGGGCGUCCUUCUUCGACAUUGAGGAAUGCCGAGACCAGUCCUCCCCCUACGACUUCAUGCUGCCCAGCGAGUCCCACUUCGCCGACUACGUGGGGCGCCUGGGGGUCAGCAACGACACCCACGUGGUGGUGUAUGACGGGGACCAGCUGGGCACCUUCUAUGCCCCCCGCGCCUGGUGGAUGUUCCGGGUCUUCGGGCACAAGGAGGUCUCGGUCCUGAAUGGUGGCUUCAAGAACUGGGUGAAGGAGGGCCACCCCGUCACGGCAGAGGUCAGCCAGCCCACCCCAGCUGUCUUUAAGGCCAGGCUGAACACGGUCCUGCUGAAGACCUUUGAGGAGAUGAUCCAUAACGUGGGGUCCCUGCGGUUCCAGGUGGUGGAUUCCCGCCCUGAGGGCCGGUUCCGGGGGACCGAGCUGGACCAAGGGCUGGAGUCUGGUCACAUCCCUGGUGCUGUGAACAUACCCUUCCACUCAUUCCUAACAGAAUCUGGCCAUGAGAAGAGUAUUGAGGAGAUCCAAGAAAUAUUCCGUGAGAAGAAAGUGGAUCUCUCAAAGCCACUGGCGGCCACGUGCCGCAAAGGUGUCACAGCGUGUCACAUUGCCUUAGCAGCCUACCUGUGUGGCAAGCGUGAUGUGGCUAUUUAUGAUGGUUCCUGGUCAGAGUGGUUCCACCGUGCCCCACCUCGCUACAAGGUCUCCGAGUUGAAGCGCAACAAGGCCUAGAGGGAGAAUUGUUUCUUGGGCCGUGAGAUCUUGCAGCUGUCUCCAGCCCAAGUUACAAGGAAAGGGAAGAGGAUGACCCUGAUCUCUGCCAUGUUUCUGCUGGUUCCCAUGGAGACCACAGCUUACAGAGGGAGGGUUGUUCCCUAGCAACCAUCUCUGCUCUUCAGCCUUUAUCCCACCUCCAUUCCUGGACUUCAGACUUGCC